rnacentral:rRNA from 1 species
UACGUAGGGUGCGAGCGUUGUCCGGAAUUAUUGGGUGUAAAGGGCUCGUAGGCGGUUUGUCGCGUCGGGAGUGAAAUCCACUGGCUUAACUGGUGGCUUGCUUUCGAUACGGGCAGACUGGAGGUAUGCAGGGGAGAACGGAAUUCCUGGUGUAGCGGUGAAAUGCGCAGAUAUCAGGAGGAACACCGGUGGCGAAGGCGGUUCUCUGGGCAUGUCCUGACGCUGAGGAGCGAAAGUGUGGGGAGCGAACAGG